rnacentral:rRNA from 1 species
GGUAAACGCUGGCGGUGUGCCUUAUGCAUGCAAGUCGAACGGUCCCGAUUUAUCGGGAUAGUGGCGAACGGGUGAGUAACGCGUAAGUAACCUGUCCUCAAGUUGGGAAUAACUUCGGGAAACCGAGGCUAAUACCGAAUGUGGUGGCAGGGCAAUGCUCAGCUACUAAAGCCGAAAGGCGCUUGAGGAGGGGCUUGCGUCCGAUUAGCUAGUUGGUAGGGUAAUGGCCUACCAAGGCGAUGAUCGGUAGCUGGCUUGAGAGGGUGGUCAGCCACACUGGGACUGAGACACGGCCCAGACUCCGUACGGGAGGCAGCAGCAAGGAAUAUUGGGCAAUGGGCGAAAGCCUGACCCAGCGACGCCGCGUGGGGGAAGAAGGCCUUCGGGUCGUAAACCCCUUUUCUCAGGGAAGAAUAAUGACGGUACCUGAGGAAUAAGUCUCGGCUAACUACGUG